AAAAAAUAAACCCCCUACCCACUUAUCUCUCUUUUUUCUUUCUCGUGAAACCCUAGUAGCCGCCUAGGUUUUCCCUGCCUCUCUCAUGCCAAAAAUGGCAUGUUUACAUGCGUAUGCUGAUAUGCACAGCAUUUGUACGCUCUUUGUGGUGAAAUAUCAAAGAUUCACUUGGUUCCACGAUUUCUUUUGCCCAAAUGUGGCUUGGAAGCACAGAGGCUCCCAAAUCCGUUCUUUUCUUAGCUGUACACAUAAAAGUCAAGCCACCCUAUUGGGCUAAUAGGGAAAAUUCUUUUAAGUGUCUUUGAGUCCAAAAAGAAGAAGGGAAGCUAAUACAUUGAAGGCCCAGUCAUGGGUAAAAAUGACAUGAAGGCCCAACCAUGGGUGAAAAUGGUUGGGGUUUGGUACACCCCAUUUCACUUUACAUCAUUAUAUUUUCCUAUUGUGCUUCAUUGUAUUGUAUUCCGUACUUGUAAAACCCACAAAUAUUAUUGGAACCAUUAUAUUGUGA